CCCCGUAGGACAGUGCAUGAAGGGAUGAAGAUGCAGGGAUGCCAAGCGAGUCUGCUAAGAAUCCUACUUCAUCUAGACCGUGCCGCACCGUUGGGAACAAGGCAAGGAUCUCCAGGUUUAUCUUCAAGAUAAGAAGCGCCAUCAGAGUUGGCUCUUUGCUUCUUGGUUUGGAGGCUGUAUGGAAUCUACGAAGAGUGUAGAAACGAACGAGUAGAGCAAGAGGGAGAUUCUCCUAGGAAGAGCCGCUUCAUCUGUUAAGGAGGAACUAUGAAACCUCUUACAGCAGGCUGCGACCUCCCUGUCCAUCCUGUGUAAAAUAUGAAAUAAGAGUUUUAAUUACCGAGCUUGGAAGGCUGCCGACAUGUUUAAUAUUUAAUGUCUCCAAUGCCUGUGCCCCAGGCGUGCCGGCACUGACACAAUUGGGGUUUCCCUUGGGUUGGUUCUGAAUGUACUUGGACAACAGCCAGGCAGCCGCCUUCCCCAACACCUGGGAGCCUCCUGUAGCCCAGCCUGGGCCCAGGCCUGCCCUGAGCCUCCCACCCCCUGAGGGACUCCUGACGAGAAGGCCAGUGAGGCCUGUUCUUCCACCCCAGGGUGGACAUCAGGUCCUGGAGGCCCUGCGAACUAGCUAGUUAGUACUGGACCCAGCUCAGGGUCCUGGCAGAGAAACGCGAGUCAGUAGAAGAUGGGAGCCCAGGAGGGGGCCGGGGCAGAUGAGCUUGAGUUUGAGGUCUGCUUUUCUGCAAGCCAUUUAGCCCUUUCUCUGGGUGUCACUUUUAUUAUUCAUAAAGCGGAGAGUGUA